CCCUUAGAUGUUCUGGGCCGCACGCGCGCUACACUGAUGCAUUCAACGAGUUUCUUCCUGGUCCGAGAGGAAUGGGUAACCUUUUGAAAGUGCAUCGUGAUAGGGAUAGACUAUUGCAAUGAUUGGUCUUCAACGAGGAAUUCCUAGUAGACGUAGUUCAUCAGACUGCAUCGAUUACGUCCCUGCCCUUUGUACACACCGCCCGUCGCUCCUACCGAUUGAAUGCUCAGGUGAGCCAUUCGGACUUUCAUCAUGCUGGUUUCCAGUUUUGAUGAAGGAAAGUCUUGCGAACCUUAUCAUUUAGAGGAAGGAGAAGUCGUAACA
rnacentral:rRNA from 1 species